rnacentral:lncRNA from 1 species
GGCUGAUUGGAGCAUCACUGCUGCCAGCAAAGCCCAAGGUGUGAGCUCUACAUUAUGCUGAGAUGGCUAUGUACAAGUAUAUCCAGAAUGACGGUGGAUACGUUGAAAGUCCAAUCAACUGUGCUAAAUCUUGAAUCAGUUCUCUCUGUUGCCUUUUGCAGGUUGUUUAAGUUUUGUAUAGAAGUGGAUAUUUUGAACAUUGAAACUGCACAAGGGCUUUAUGGUUGCUCUGCUCACCUCUAUUUCUUCUUCUCCUGCUAGGAAACCCCAUUAUCCUCAGAACAAGUCUCUCCACCUCCUGCUCUUGCCUGAUGCUGUAUGGCUCUGAUGGCUUGUCCUGUGUCCCCUUAGCCCAGGUGCUAAGUGGUCUCUGUUCCCUUAAAAUAACUGUUUUGGGAUGUUAUGGGUCCUGUUUUAAAAAUCCCCUCAUCCCUCUUCUUUUCUCUCUUCUAAAGGGCAGCCUUACCAUCUCCUUUUAAGAACAGAAGUCUUUUCUUUCUGCCUCUUAAAGUCAGUAGCUGGUUUGUCACCCAAUAACAAAAGCCCACAAUAUCCUGACCUCAAAGACUAGGAAGGUAGGUGGUGCUAAGGUCAGGGAUUGGGAGUCUUAGAGAGCCAGCAACACAGU